GCGCCACUAGCUCAGCUGGCAGAGCACCUGACUCUUAAUCAGGGUGUCCAGGGUUCGAACCCUGGUGGCGCA
rnacentral:tRNA from 1 species